rnacentral:rRNA from 1 species
GAUGAACGCUGGCGGCGUGCUUAACACAUGCAAGUCGAACGAAGCACCUUGAUUUGAUUCUUCGGAUGAAGAUCUUGGUGACUGAGUGGCGGACGGGUGAGUAACGCGUGGGUAACCUGCCUCAUACAGGGGGAUAACAGUUAGAAAUGACUGCUAAUACCGCAUAAGACCACACCACCGCAUAGUGCAGGGGUAAAAACUCCGGUGGUAUGAGAUGGACCCGCGUCUGAUUAGGUAGUUGGUGGGGUAACGGCCUAUCAAACCGACGAUCAGUAGCCGACCUGAGAGGGUGACCGACCACAUUGGGACUGAGACACGGCCCAAACUCCUACGGGAGGCAGCAGUGGGGAAUAUUGCACAAUGGGGGAAACCCUGAUGCAGCGACGCCGCGUGAGCGAUGAAGUAUUUCGGUAUGUAAAGCUCUAUCAGCAGGGAAGAAAAUGACGGUACCUGACUAAGAAGCACCGGCUAAAUACGUGCCAGCCGCCGCAGUAA